rnacentral:rRNA from 1 species
AGAGUUUGACUCGCUCCAUGAAUAAGCGGCGGACGGGUGAGUAAUGCCUAGGAAUCUGCCUGGUAGUGGGGGACAACGUUUCGAAAGGAACGCUAAUACCGCAUACGUCCUACGGGAGAAAGCAGGGGACCUUCGGGCCUUGCGCUAUCAGAUGAGCCUAGGUCGGAUUAGCUAGUAGGUGAGGUAAAGGCUCACCUAGGCGACGAUCCGUAACUGGUCUGAGAGGAUGAUCAGUCACACUGGAACUGAGACACGGUCCAGACUCCUACGGGAGGCAGCAGUGGGGAAUAUUGGACAAUGGGCGAAAGCCUGAUCCAGCCAUGCCGCGUGUGUGAAGAAGGUCUUCGGAUUGUAAAGCACUUUAAGUUGGGAGGAAGGGCAGUAAGCUAAUACCUUGCUGUUUUGACGUUACCAACAGAAUAAGCACCGGCUAACUUCGUGCCAGCAGCCGCGGUAAUACGAAGGGUGCAAGCGUUAAUCGGAAUUACUGGGCGUAAAGCGCGCGUAGGUGGUUCAGCAAGUUGGAGGUGAAAUCCCCGGGCUCAACCUGGGAACUGCCUCCAAAACUACUGAGCUAGAGUACGGUAGAGGGUAGUGGAAUUUCCUGUGUAGCGGUGAAAUGCGUAGAUAUAGGAAGGAACACCAGUGGCGAAGGCGACUACCUGGACUGAUACUGACACUGAGGUGCGAAAGCGUGGGG